rnacentral:rRNA from 1 species
UACGAAGGGAGCUAGCGUUGUUCGGAAUCACUGGGCGUAAAGCGCACGUAGGCGGAUGUGCCAGUCAGGGGCGAAAUCCCGGAGCUCAACUCCGGAACUGCCUCUGAUACAGCACGUCUUGAGUCCGGAAGAGGUGGGUGGAAUUCCUAGUGUAGAGGUGAAAUUCGUAGAUAUUAGGAAGAACACCGGUGGCGAAGGCGGCCCACUGGUCCGGUACUGACGCUGAGGCGCGAAGGCGUGGGGAGCGAACGGG